rfam:Triticum aestivum genome assembly, contig: Triticum_aestivum_CS42_TGACv1_scaffold_061167_1DL
AUAAUACUCCCUCCGUACCAAAUUCUUGUCUUAGAUUUAUCCAGAUACGGAUGUAUCUAACACUAAAACAUGAAUAGAUACAUCUGUAUGUAUACAAAUCUAAGACAAGAAUUAUGGGACAGAGGGAGUAGUAC